UACUAUUAAAAUUUUAAAAAAAUCAUUGAUACGGCAAAACAAUGAUUCUUUCUUCUUCCCCAAUCGUAUUUUCUCUUCUUCUUCUUUGAUUACUUUCGAUCUCUCUUUUUUGAAGAGGUUGGGCCCAUAAAGGAAAAGAGGAUUUGGAAUGGGAGGAGAAAAUAACGAAAACCAGCUCAAUAGGAGGGAUUGGGAGAAGACGAUGGAAGAUGAGUGGAGAAGAAAAAUCGAGCAAAGGUUCUUUCUCUUCUUUUUUUAUUGGAAUUUUAGGGAUGAAAAAAAGAGAGAUAGGAAAUGAGAGAUUUGAAGAGAAGGUAAGUAGGAAGAGUUCAAUGCGAUGG
rnacentral:lncRNA from 1 species